CUGGGGAUGGAGGCAGGAAUAAAAACUCUAGACAUUUGGGUUGCUGUGCAGGGGAUGAAAUAAGGGAUAUAACAUUUUGCUUUGAGAUGAAUAGGGCAGAUAUUGGUUUGCUAAAGUCAAAUAAGGAUUUUUUUUUUACUCAGCAGCCACACAACUUGAACAGAUCUUACUUUUCUUCUCCCUGCUGUUUGGUUGAAAACCCACAGGUAGAUUGUUGC